rnacentral:rRNA from 1 species
UCCGUAGGGAGCAAGCGUUGUCCGGAAUCAUUGGGCGUAAAGCGCGCGUAGGCGGCCCUGUAAGUCCGUUGUGAAAGUCAAAGGCUCAACCUUUGAAAGCCGAUGGAUACUGCAGGGCUAGAGUCCGGAAGAGGCGAGUGGAAUUCCUGGUGUAGCGGUGGAAUGCGCAGAUAUCAGGAGGAACACCAAUAGCGAAGGCAGCUCGCUGGGACGGUACUGACGCUAAGGCGCGAAAGCGUGGGGAGCGAACAGG